UACGAAGGGGGCUAGCGUUGCUCGGAAUCACUGGGCGUAAAGCGCACGUAGGCGGCUUUCUAAGUCGGUGGUGAAAUCCUGGAGCUCAACUCCAGAACUGCCUCCGAUACUGGAGAGCUCGAGUCCGGGAGAGGUGGAGUGGGAACUGCGAGUGUAGAGGUGAAAUUCGAUAGAGUAUUCGUCAAGAAUCGACCAAGACGGCGG
rnacentral:rRNA from 1 species